rnacentral:misc_RNA from 1 species
AAUUUUGGUUAAGGAAGUGAGGGCAGUAGACACAGUCUCCGAUUGGAUAAUAAGACGGUUGGUGGACCAGGAAGGGUUUCAACCGCCCUCGUGAGAAAGUUGCCAACGGAAUAUACCAGAAGUGAGGAAAACCGACUUUCCGUAGUAAACAAUAAACGUAAAAGGAAAUCUAAGACAAGAGAUACUCGCUUGGUCUGAGGGACCUUAACUAUGAAAAUUGCAAGACCCCUGGUGAGUACUUAAGACUAUUGAGGGUACGCGUCAAGGAUGUGCAGACAUCUGGGUGCCAUCCUGCCCGCGGUACGCGGGUACCCAAUGAAACUCGAGGGCCCGGCAUAUCUUGUUCCAGGGGAUACUGUUGAAAGCGUUGACCACGUUCAGCGACACGGCCAAUGCCACGCAACCACGCUGCUCGACCC